CCUACGGGAGGCAGCAGUGAGGAAUAUUGGUCAAUGGCCGGAAGGCUGAACCAGCCAUGCCGCGUGAAGGUCAGUGCCCUAUGGGUUGUAAACUUCUUUUAUAUGGGAAUAAAAUGUUCCACGUGUGGGAUUUUGUAUGUACCAUAUGAAUAAGGAUCGGCUAACUCCGUGCCAGCAGCCGCUGUAAUACGGAGGAUCCGAGCGUUAUCCGGAUUUAUUGGGUUUAAAGUGAGCGUAGGUGGAUUGUUAAGUCAGUUGUGAAAGUUUGCGGCUCAACCGUAAAAUUGCAGUUGAAACUGGCAGUCGUGAGUACAGUAGAGGUGGGCGGAAUUCGUGGUGUAGCGGUGAAAUGCUUAGAUAUCACGAAGAACUCCGAUUGCGAAGGCAGCUCACUGGACUGCAACUGACACUGAGGCUCGAAAGUGUGGGUAUCAAACAGGAUUAGAUACCCGGGUAGUC
rnacentral:rRNA from 1 species